rnacentral:rRNA from 1 species
GAUUUUAAGCUUCCUACGGGAGGCUGCAGUGGGGAAUAUUGGACAAUGGGCGCAAGCCUGAUCCAGCCAUGCCGCGUGUGUGAAGAAGGCCUUAUGGUUGUAAAGCACUUUAAGCGAGGAGGAGGCUACUUUAGUUAAUACCUAGAGAUAGUGGACGUUACUCGCAGAAUAAGCACCGGCUAACUCUGUGCCAGCAGCCGCGGUAAUACAGAGGGUGCAAGCGUUAAUCGGAUUUACUGGGCGUAAAGCGCGCGUAGGCGGCUAAUUAAGUCAAAUGUGAAAUCCCCGAGCUUAACUUGGGAAUUGCAUUCGAUACUGGUUAGCUAGAGUGUGGGAGAGGAUGGUAGAAUUCCAGGUGUAGCGGUGAAAUGCGUAGAGAUCUGGAGGAAUACCGAUGGCGAAGGCAGCCAUCUGGCCUAACACUGACGCUGAGGUGCGAAAGCAUGGGGAGCAAACAGGAUUAGAUACCCUUGUAGUCGAAUUCUU